rnacentral:rRNA from 1 species
UACGGAGGGGGCCAGCGUUGUUCGGAAUCAUUGGGCGUAAAGGGCGCCUAGGCGGCUGAGCAAGUCGGACGUGAAAUACCCCGGCUCAACUGGGGAACUGCAUCCGAAACUGCCCGGCUCGAGUCCUGGAGAGGGUAGUGGAAUUCCCAGUGUAGCGGUGAAAUGCGUAGAUACUGGGAGGAACACCGGUGGCGAAGGCGGCUACCUGGACAGGUACUGACGCUGAAGCGCGAAAGCGUGGGGAGCAAACAGG